GACCAGCCUGGCCAACACAGUAAAACCCCGUCUCUACUAAAAAUACAAAAACUAGUCUGGUGUGGUGGCACACGUCUGUUAUCCCAGCUACUCAGGAGGCUGUGAGGCAGGAGAAUGGCUCAGACCCAGGAGGCGGAUGUUGCAGUGAACCCGAUAUCACGCCAUUGCACUCCAGCCUGGGCAACAGAGCAAGACUCCAUCUCAAAAACAAACAAACAAACAAAAAAACUGGGCCAGGCCUGGUGGCUUAUGCCUGUAAUCCCAGCACUUUGGGAGACCGAGGUGGGCAGAUCAGGAGGUCAGGAGAUCGAGACCAUCCUGGCUAACAUGGUGAAACCCCAUCUCUACUAAAAAUACAAAAAAUUAGCUGGGCGUGGUGGCAUGCACCUAUAGUCCCAGCUACUAGGGAGGCUGAGGCAGGAGAAUCACUUGAACCCAGGAGGCAGAGGUCACAGUGAGCCGAGAUCACGCCACUGCACUCCAGCCUGGGUGACAGAGCAAGACUCCUUCUCAAAACAACAACAACAACAACAAAACACAUAAAAAAACAAAAAAAAACUCCUUUAAUUUCUCUUUGGGAGGCCAAAGUGGGCAGACUGCUUGAGUCCAGGAGUUGGAGACCAACCCGGGCAAUGUGGCAAAACCCGGUCUCUACAAAAAAAUUAGCCAGGCAUGGUGGUGGGUGCCUGUGGUCCCAGCUACUCAAGAGGGCUGCUGAGGUGGGAGGAUAACCUGAGCCUGGGGAGGUCAAGGCUGUGGUAAGCCAUGAUGGUGCCACUGCACUCCAGAGCCUGGGCAACAGAGUGAGACCCUGCCUCAAAAAAAAAAAAAAAAAAAAAAAAGCAUCACAGCACAGAGUGAGCACCUUCACCUUCUUCCCUUCAUCAGUAUAGUGGGUAAGGGAGCCAGGGUAUCAAAAGAUUCUACUUUGAUUCCCAAAUUCAGUAUUUACCAGCUCUAUGACACUUUAAAUAAAUAACUUAAACUUCUGAGGCUUAAUUUCCUUAUUUAUAAAGUGGAGGUGAUGCCAGGCCCAGUGGUGCCUAUGUGGGGGUACCGGUAGUCCCAUCUACUAGGAAGGCUGAGUGAGGCAGGAGGAUCGCUUGAGCCUAGGCUGAUUGGGUGUCCUCACUAAGUUCUGCAUCAAUAUGGUGAUGUUCUGGGAGUGGGGACCACUAGGUUGCCUAAGGAGGGGUGAACUGGCCCAGGUUGGAAACGGACCAGCUGAAAACUCCCAUGCUAAUCAGUAGUGGUAUAUCCUGUGCCAGUCAUCAGUAGUGGUAUGUCCUGUGCCAAUCAUCAGUAGUGGUAUAGUGCCUGUGAAUAGCCACUGCACUCCAGCCUGAGCAAUAUAAUGAGACCCCCAAUAAAAAAGUUUUUAAAUGAAAAUUAAAUGGAAGUGAUGGUAAUACCCACCUUGCAAGGGUUGUAUGUAAAAUGGCCUUAUUCCUGGCACAAAAUAAAUAUUAUUCGAUGGAUAUUUAGUAGCUGCCUAUGCUUCCUAUAUCAGGAUGAUUUCAGCUCAAUGCUACAAAAAACAAGUUUAAAGUAGUUUAAAUAAUAAGGCAAUGUAUUGUCUCACAUAAAUGGAAGUACAGAGUGAAUACAAACAUAAAAUUUGGUGAGGUAAGAUUUAGUGAGGUAGCUGGGCAAGGUGGCUUACGUCUGUAAUCCCAGCACUUUGGGAGGCCAAGGCGGGUGGAUCACGAGGUCAGGAGUUCAAGACCAGCCUGGCCAAGAUGGUGAAGCCUCAUCUCUACUAAAACUACAAAAUUAGCCAGGCGUGGUGGCAGGCGCCUGUAAUCUCAGUUAUUUGGAAGGCUGAGGCAGAAGAACUGCUUGAACCCAGGUAGCAGAGG
rnacentral:lncRNA from 1 species